rnacentral:rRNA from 1 species
AUUGAACGCUGGCGGCAGGCCUAACACAUGCAAGUCGAGCGGGGUUUUCGGACCUAGCGGCGGACGGGUGAGUAAUGCGUAGGAAGCUGCCCGAUAGAGGGGGAUACCAGUUGGAAACGACUGUUAAUACCGCAUAAUGUCUACGGACCAAAGUGUGGGACCUUCGGGCCACAUGCUAUCGGAUGCGCCUACGUGGGAUUAGCUAGUUGGUGAGGUAAUGGCUCACAAAGGCGACGAGCUCUAGCUGGUUAGAGAGGAUGAUCAGCCACACUGGAACUGAGACACAGUCAAGACUCCUACGGGAGGGAGCAGUGUGGAAUAUUGGACAAUGGGCGGAAGCCUGAUCCAGCCAUGCCGCGUGUGUGAAGAAGGCCUUUUGGUUGUAAAGCACUUUAAGCGAGGAGGAGGCUACCUAGAUUAAUACUCUGGGAUAGUGGACGUUACUCGCAGAAUAAGCACCGGCUAACUCUGUGCCAGCCGCCGCUGUAAUAC